GGGGGUCGCCCGCGCCGCCGCAAGUUCCUUCCAGGCGGGGAUAGGCGGCUGCGAGGUAACGUGCUACACAACACCGCCCCAAAACAUUUUCCCCUGUUGGACGGCGACUUGGGCGCUCCAUCGACUGCUGGAUGGCACCAUGUGGUUGAGGCCCGUGGCACCGUCGGCUGCCCCUCUGUCGCCGACAUCCAUCCCAUCGCCGGAUCUAGGAGAGCUUCGCCCGAAUCCUCUUCUGAUUCUUGCGUGUCGGUGGUGGGUGGAGAGCAGCGGUACCAACGACAUUUGAAGCACAGAAGGUGGCAGGAUUCGGAGAGGAGGCUACGGAUCUGGGGGUCCGAUGGGUCGUUCUCCCUCCUCCCUAAAGCGGUGGCGAAGGAUGUCAGUAAAUUGUCGUUGGCGUCAUGCGCGGCAGGUCAGCGCCGCCAAGGAAUACAGGAGGAGCACAAUGUAACCGGUGGACUCGAAGAUGUAAUGCAUCAUGCGGUGACCUGGGAAACAUUGUCACUAGCGCCGGAGCGGCCAUGCUGAUCCUGGGCUGCCCAUCCUGAUUCCUAAUGCUACCGCCACACAGUCCUGUUCUAAGCGGUGGUUGGCGAGCCAGCCGCCUCCACUACAACAUGCGUCCAUCAAAGACGAUGGAUCCCGCGGUGAAGAGGGCAUGCCCCUGAGUGUGUCUGAAUGUAACAGAACCCGUGUGUAAAAGAAAAUAUUGUUAAUAGAGGCUAGAAUGUUAACCGGUAGCUUGGUUGACUGGUGAAUACAAGUUAAUUGGUAAUGUAGUGUGGAGGUGAAUAAUAUCUGACCGGCAGUGAUUUAUUUACUC
rnacentral:lncRNA from 1 species